CUCUCUCACUCUCUCGUUUCUUCUCUCGUUUUCUUCUCUCUCGGCUUAAUAGAAUAUUUCUUCUUCUUCCUCUGCAAUUUUGCUACGGUUUCAAGUUCGAAAGAGGUGAAAUCCGAAAGAGCCAGAAAGUAAGGAAGGUAAGGAUUGACGGGGUAAGGAAACGAUGGGAUUCUAUGCUGGGAUUAUCCGCAGGUUGCUGAGCGAGG
rnacentral:lncRNA from 1 species